UGGGGAAUAUUGCACAAUGGAGGGAACUCUGAUGCCGCGACGCCGCGUGAGUGAUGAAGGACUUCGUUUCGUAAAACUCUGUUCUAUGGGAAGAAAAGGACUGUACCAUAGGAGAAAGCUCCGGCCAAAUACGUGCCAGCAGCCGCGGUAAUACGUAUGGAGCGAGCGUGGUUCGGAAUUAUUGGGCGUAAAGGGUGCGCAGGCGGCUUUACAAGUUGGUUGUGAAAUAUUGUGGCUCAAUCACAAACGUGCAUCCAAAACUGCAAAGCUGGGGUUAAGGAGAGGUAGGUGGAAUUCCUGGUGUAGCGGUGGAAUGCUUAGAUAUCCGGAGGAAUACCGUUGGCGAGGGCGACUUACUGGACUUAUACUAACGCUCAGGCACGAAGGCGUGGGGAGCAAACAGG
rnacentral:rRNA from 1 species